rnacentral:lncRNA from 1 species
AAAGAUAUGCGCGGAAUCUUCUUGGAAAUUACUUUCAUGAUACAUAUAUACAAUUAUGUGGUAUUAUAAUUAGAAAUAAAAUAGUACUCAGACUUUUACGUCGAAUGGCAGAGUAUCUCUUUGUUCAACUUAUUAAGUUUUAAUUUAAAGUUAAUUUUCAAAUAUAAUUAAAUCACUUAAUAUGCUCUAAAAAUUUAACGGUAGCAUCAUCAGCCUGCAAUCCAUCUGCAUCCAGCGAGCCUGACUCUAGAGAAAGGCUCGAAUUUCACCAUUUCGAUUCUACUCAACACCACCAAGAAGCGUUUUUUUCACCCUCGAAAGCCUCCUUCGUUGGCCAUCAAUACGAAGGUAUCCAAACACCACAUGGCAAUCGGAUGUUUUCCUAUUUAACACCCCCUAGACUGACAAGCACAGAAGACCUACACCCAC